CAUCAGAAGCCGGGGAUGUACUGUAUGGUGACUAACAUAAUAUAAUAAAAAAUCAUUUAAAAAAAUUAAAAAUAAAAAAAAAAGACAAGUCAGUCAUACUUCAUGAAAAUAAGAUGAAUUUAGUUAGUUCUGUAUGUAGUACCCAGUUUGGUUAUGUUAGCAGCAGCCUGUUGGAUGUGCCUGUGAGCCAAAAUUUUAAGGUGGUUUGUGGCUCUGGGGAGCACAGGAUAAUGCUUUGGAUUUGGUGAUUUUUAUUGUAUUAUUGUUUUAUUCACUCAAUGUUUAUAUCAGUUGAAUUGUUGGAGGUUUUUUAAUGAAAGGCGGAUAAUUUAUUGCCAACAGAACUUUUCUCUUUGUAUUUAGGGCUAAUCUAAAUAAUACUAGGUUUAGAACGUUAUUUUUUACCUGUAAUAUCUAUUUUAAGUCCUCCAAGUAUUAUUUAGCUUUAAAGCAUUUUCUGUGGCAAGAUUAAACUUAAGAGUAUUUUAUAAAAUCAUUUUCAGUUACUUCUUUCUGCCUUUUUUAUGCCUCUUUCCUCAGUGAUCUCUAAUUUUCAAUUGGCUUUACACCUCCAUACUUUAUGAAUGGAAUCAAGUGAUUUACUUAUAAAAUAACUGAUUAAUUCAUGGACUUUAAAUGAAUAAUUUUAAUAUUAAAUUUAUUAGCAUAUGUCCCUAUUAACAAUAUUUUCACCUGUGUUUUAAUGUAUAAUACAUAAUUGAGUUCAAAAGUAUGUUGUAAAAACAGGCUAUAAAACACUCUAACAUAGUUAUAUUAAUUCUUUUAAUAGUGUUUAAAACUCUGUGCCUAUUUAUCACAUUUUCAUUCAUAAAGUUUCCUUCAAUGAAAUGGAAAUUUUUUAACUUAGUGUAGGUAUGUUUACAGAGAAAUUAAUUUGUAUACUUUUCUAGUCUCUAGAUCUGAUUACUACCCUUUUCAAACAAAACAUGGUUUACUUUUUAAAAGUAAUUUAAUCUCCGGCAUCCUGUAAGUCUUCUUGAACAUACAAAAAUCCCUCUAGACCCUUCCAUUAUCUCCACCUCCCCACAACUUAAAUGUAUACAAGCAGUAACUCAUCACAAUCACAGUGCAGCUCAUUCUGCCCAUGGGUCCAGUCCCCUUCCUUUACACUUUUUCACACAUGCCAAAAAAAAAAAUAAAUAAAUAAAUCAUUUGGUGAAUGGAUUUGGUAAAUAUUUUUUCCAAUUUAUUUUUUUAAGCUUUCCUACUGUACUUACUAUGUAUCACUGUAACUUUUUCUAAAAUUAAAAUAACAUACCUAAUAAUGUUUGUACAGUGACUUAAAACUGGGAUAAACAUAUCCCUGGUUAUGGGAAUUUUUUUUCCAAGAGAUAAAGGGACAUUAAUAGUUUUAAGACUAUCAGUUUACAAAUCUCAGUUUUCAUAUGUGUCUUUCUUAAAAUUAGUCUGCCUUUGGUCCAGAUUUCUCCCCAUUUUUCAUAAGAAGGCACACUUCUCACGUUUCCCAAAUUUUAUAUGGUGCACUGCUUCAGGUUGUAAAAACCAGUUGGGCACCAACAAAAGAGAAUAUUUUGAAAUAUUAGAAUCAGUAGUAUUGAGGAUAUGAAUCAUUGUAAAGAGUGGGAACAGCCCUCUCUCUACUAGGUUGUUUCUAGGUCUUUGGUUUCAACAAAAUGGACAGAGGAUCUAAUCAAGUUGUUAGUAAGAAGAGCAUUAAGUAUAAUUUUUAAGGAUGGAUUACUGUGUGACUUGUAUACGUAAAGAACUGAGUGGUAUUGUUAUAACAAAACCUUUUCUAUUUCUAUCCGCUCCUGUUGUCAGCAAGAUUUCUCAACUCAUACACGUGUAAAAAUUUUAAAUAGGAAGAGAUUUAAUUUCCUUAUUCUAGCAGUAGAAAAUAUCCACCUAUACAUGAACUAAUUAAAAAUAAUUACUACUUCAAAGAGAAAAGACUAUUCUAAAGUAGCAGUUGUAAAUUAUUAUUAACAAACAUUUUUUUCUUUAACUUUUUAUGAAAAAUUUCAAACAUAUACAAAAUAAACGUGAUAGUGUAACUAUCCCCCAUGUACCCAUUCCUGGCUUCUGAUUUUCGUAACAUCUCUUCACCCCUCUGCACCCUACUAUUAGAUAAGAUAAUGAUGAUGGACUUUUUUUUACAGUUUACAUUUUUUGUUUUUGGGGGAUUUACUCUAUUUUGUAUGUGUAUGUGUGCUUUUUUGCUCACAUCUUUGCAAAUAAACUUUAUACAGUUAUUUUUUUAGAGAUUAAAAUAACAUUUUGUAUUGAUUAUUAGAGCCCAUAUAUCCCUGGGGUACACAGAUUCUUCCCAAGAGAUACAGGGGCAAAUAUAUUUUAUUGACUUAAGUUAAAUACUAUUUUCAGGGUAGAUAGUAAGAACAAACAUUAAUCAAGUGCUUUUACAUUUAAAUGGGGAAGUUUUGGGGAGACACUUUCUUGGGUCAACAAAAAUCAGUGAGAUACUUUAUUUUGCUUGUUUAUAUAAUCUGCCUAGGACAUUUCAAGUAGCUUAUCCAAAAUGUUAUGUAAUGAUUGACAUUGGUAAAUAUCAGUUGUUUUUUAAAGGCAGCAUAGAAGCAAAAUUCAAUUGUGCUUUAAUUUAGUAACCUGCAGAGUAGACCAAGCAUGUGACCAUAGUCUAGAGUUGAAAGGUUUUUUUUUUUUCUUUUUAUUAAACAUGACAGCUAAAUAAAGAAAAUUUGUAUUUGUUCUGUAGGGCACAGUUUAGGUUAGAGAAUGAAAGUUUAGUAUAACUUGUCUAUUUUACAUUGAUUACUUGUAUAACGGUAAUUAUCCAUGUAACAUCCCAUUGCAAAUGCUGACAUCCUUUUCCAAAAAGAGUUGUUUUUUUUUUUUUUUUGUGCUUUUUCAAAGGUUAAAAAGGUUUUUGUGGUUUAAAUGUUGUUACAUAUUUUACAGCAUUAGGAUCUAUGGAAUAUUUUGACAACUGCAACAGUUCAAUGAAGUUGGUAAUUUCUUCUUUUAAUUAUUUUUCAUUGAACAGCUUUGGAGUUACAUUUCUACUUUUUGAAUUCUGGUGUUUUAUAAGGAAAGAAAACUUAAAAUAUGUCAAAAGGCACUUUAGAGAAAAUACAUAGAUAGUGAUUACAAUAUGGCUGUAGCUAAAUUAUCCUUAUCUUGUUUAAGCUUUGUUAAUGCCUAAUUUUGAUGAAAUAGUGUGUCUUUUUCAGCUACUGAUUGUAUAUGUGAUUGACAUCCUUUCUUAAAUAAGUUGAUUUGUAAGGUUUCACAGAUUAUCAGCCACAUCCUAGUCCACUUGUAAAGUGGAGAAUGAACCUGGCUUUAUUCAGUUAAAUAAUUCUCUGGUACAGGUUUUCCCCCUUAUAAUAAAAUUUUAAAGUGUAAUGUUUUGGAAGUUUUGAGGGUAAAGUUAAGAAAUUUGUUCUUAAAUUUUUAGUUGUCAAAUUAUUUUAAACCUGUUUUAAAAAUUAGAGAUGUAUUGUUUCUGUUGGGUGCACAUCACCAAUUAAUACGUUUGAUUUCAGAUCUACAUCUUACUGCUUUGUAAACUUCGCCGAGCAAGGAGUGAAUAAUGCUGAAAAAUUUGACUAUGUGAUGCAGUUUUUGAAUAAGAUGGCUGGCAAUGAAUAUGUUGGAUUCAGUAAUGCAACGUUUCAGUCUGAAAGAGAAAGUGGAGAUCGAAAUUUUGCAAUAGGAUAUUACCUAAAAGAAAAAAAGGUUUUUGAAUUUUUGUUUCGAUUUCAAAUUAUUUUAUUUAAUAAAAUACAUUAAGAUGUAUGCUAAGAACUCAGCAGUAGCUUUUAAGCAACUACCUAUUAUUUAAGGUGCAGGAAUUUUUGCAAAACACUCUUGAGUUAAUGGUAUCAAAAUGUUAAUUUUUUUUUUUUUAAAGAUUUUAUUUAUUUAUUUGAAAGAGAGACAGCCAGUGAGAGAGGGA